rnacentral:sRNA from 1 species
UAUGUUUGCUGAAACAGCAUUAAUGUCCGCUUUCCCAUUUUCAGCAGACAAAAAUUGCUGGGGCCGAAUUACCUCACACGUGAGCGAAUAAAAUUGUUCGAAAAUUUUUGUGUUGGUAUUCCGCGUUCGUUGACGAAUAAGAACUUUCGACAUUCGAGGUUAUGGUAUUCGUUAAGGAAAGCAUAAUCGAGUAUCAGCUGUUCGAAAUCUACUCGUGAGAUCUGGAGCAAUCGAAUAGAAUUCUUACUUCAUAUAAAUAAUUAAAACAAAAGAACAAUUUAUGCAAAAUGAAUGGGCUACAAAAGGUUGAAAUGACUCAAUUCAUAGCGUUCCGUAUUUGGCAAAAAAAAUUCCAUAUUGUAGCCAAGGGAAGGCAACAUCGAAAGAAUAAAUCAUCACAAAUCUUGGAGAAAAAUAAGAACGGCCAGCUACCCGGUUAAUCUAAAUAACAUGCAAUUGUUAUUAAUAAUAUAAAUGAUUUAUUAAGAUUA